rnacentral:lncRNA from 1 species
UUCGUUCCACUAUAAAAAUAUGUAAAAACAUAAUAGCAAAUUGUAAUAUUACAGAAUUUCCAUUGACAGUUUAGAAUUGUAAGAUGGAUUCUGCGUGUGGUAGUCGACUCUCUCUCUCUCUGUCUCUCUUUCUCUUGGUCUAGUUUCUCACGAGGUUUCUAUCCAGGCGCGAUAGAAAUCGGCGUGAAAUGGCACCGCCACAGUCAAUCUUGGGUCUCCUCAGUCGACGCGCGGCAUCCGUGUCAAACGCAUCGCGUCAUUUCUCUCUCGGUCUAAUAACAUCUAAUAUUUUUUUUCCUUCUUUUCUAUUAUUUCCUAAUACAAAAUAAAAAAGAACAAAAAAAGAGAAAAAAGAAAGAAAAAAUAUAUAAAUGAACGAAAAGAACAAAAAAAAAAAAUGCAAAUUGCAAAUCACGAUUGCAAUGAUCACCGUGAAAUCUCGUUGGAUCAUCGCGUGAUCGGACGUGGUUCACCGAUGUUAUAAGAGAACGCGAUCGCUAUGAUAGACCGGAUCUGACGAAGAGAUUGAGAAGAUAGAGAUAGAUAGAGAGAGAGAAAGAAGAUCUAUUUGACUCGUGACAAUUGUACUAACGUGCGUGCGAAAGUGACUAGUUUAUAAAGAUUAUUAUAUCGAUCAUUUAACAAAAUAUUAUUAAAUAUACACAUAUACAUCUCAAUUGAUGGCAUAUUUAAUAAACCAAUCAAAUAAAAUGAUAUAAUUACAUCUUAUAUAUAAAAAAGAGAGAGAGAGAGUGAGAGAAUAGAAAAUAAAAUCAACGAGUUUCUAAAGUCGAGUUUGGAAGAUCUAUUACAAGAUCGAAAUAGAAUAUCAUCGAAUGAAGCAUUGGAAUUGUCAUAGUCGAUGAUUCGAUCGAUGUCUCACCGUUUCCCUUUGAUCUUUGUUGACCCUUGAAACAACGAAUAUCGAGGCUAAUAUCAUUAAAUUAAACCGAUCUAUCCUUAGUUAAGUGGAUCCAGGUGGAAACGAUUAAAUCCAUCAAGAUUUAGAUCGCGGUGAUGAAGUUUAAGAGAAACAACUUGAACUGUGAGAAUCUUGAUUAUUUAUUGUCCCAUCGAAGGAACUUGAACUGUCCUGUGGUCAGAGAUAAUAAUAUGGGUAUUACUGUUACUCGUGUUCGACUUAUAGCCAUUUAAAAAAUAAUCAAGAGAGAAAGAAAGAAAAGAAAUUGUAAAAGAAAGAAAGAAAGAAAGAAAGAAAAAAAAAAAGCUACGUAUAUCUAGCUUCGAGAAUGAAAAUCGUGUCAAGAUCAUCGAGUCCGGAGCCGGUGUUGUUGGCUGUGAUAUACACGAGGGAAGUAUCUUUGGAUGAGAAAGAAAAA